ACACAGAAAUUCCUCACACCUCGCCGCUCUCCUUUCGAAAAAGUGAGAGAAACCUCCCUCGAUAUCAUCAUUCUGCUCGUCCAGCUCCACCGUCUACAGGGCAGUCAUGCUGCAUCCUCUCAUGAUUGGGAUUGUAACGGUCAACACUCUUAUCACUGUGGUGGAGUGGACCUGGAUGAUGAACGAGGCUAUGAAGGAGGAGGAACCCCCCGAGAAUGCAGUUGCACCGGCAUAACCGUGUGCUGCCAAUCAGCCUGUAAGCAGAAUAUGGAGUUCUUAGAUCUCCUCAUGGAGGUACAUAGUGGUAGGAGACAGUCUCUCACUUCAAAACAGCUGCUUGUAGACCAGCAUCAUCUGCAACACGAAGGAGCUUGUAAUGUAUUAAGAUUGGGUCCUUGCUCCGAAAACUGAAGUGGAGGAUGCAGAAAGAGGCCCUGGCGAAGGAGAAUAUGAUGAUGAUGAUGACGACAGCGAUGAUGACACCAAUGAAGAAGGGAGGAGGAUGAGUGCAGAGGUGCAGACUAUAGCGGAAGUAGCUGGCUUGCUGCCAGGGCUGCAGAGAUGUUCUAGCUUCUCCUACCCCUGCAACCAACAUGGAAGCCGGGCCAGCUUGUCCACUCAGCAGAGAGGGUCAUGUCCUUCCACCAAUGAAAUAUCAAUCCGAGUACCAUAUGUUACCUCCCUAUGAGUUUUAAAAGCCUGUCCAUUCUUUUCAAUUUCUUUUUCCACUUAAAUACAUUUCUACGUCACUGAAACAUGUUUAAAGGUACAAUAAGUGGCAUUUUACGCUUGCCACUGGUUACAUGGCUGGACAUUGUCCGCCUGACUGCUGUAGGAAUGAAAGGAAUUUUCUCAGCCAAUGGCCUUCCAGAGAUUAUUUGUCUUUAUGUUCUUGUACAGCAGGCUAAACCUACAUGAGGUUAUAUGGAAAUUCCCGCUUAUUGUAUCUUUACAUUACAGUCCUGCUUAAUUUGUUGCUGUAGGAAAGCAAAGCAUUUUUUGGUCUCUUGGGAUCAAAGCUUUAACAUAAUACCGGUCUCGAAAUGCAGUGGUGUUAAUCUGCUGCGUUCACAGUUGUAGAGUUCUACAGAUCAGCUGUAGUCCUAUGUAACUCAAUGAAGGGUAACAGAAUUUCAGAAUUUUGUUUACGAAUGUAAUUCUGUAUGUUGGUUCUAUGUAACAGAGUUCUAGAAUUUCUUGGGUCAGAGUUCUAGCUCUUCAUGGGCCAAAUAUUCUGUACUAAUAUAUUCAAUGUAAUAAACUUCUUGUCAUGUUCUCUGUGACAGGUGGUUGGUUAAGCUUCUCAAUAAAGAAAUACACUGACUCGU